AUUGAACGCUGGCGGCAGGCCUAACACAUGCAGGUCGAGCGGAUGAAGGGAGCUUGCUCCUGGAUUCAGCGGCGGACGGGUGUGUAAUGCCUAGGAAUCUGCCUGGUAGUGGGGGAUAACGUCCGGAAACGGGCGCUAAUACCGCAUACGUCCUGAUGGAGAAAGUGGGGGAUCUUCGGACCUCACGCUAUCAGAUGAGCCUAGGUCGGAUUAGCUAGUUGGUGGGGUAAAGGCCUACCAAGGCGACGAUCCGUAACUGGUCUGAGAGGAUGAUCAGUCACACUGGAAGUGAGACACGGUCCAGACGCCUACGGGAGGCAGCAGUGGGGAAUAUUGGACAAUGGGCGAAAGCCUGAUCCAGCCAUGCCGCGUGUGUGAAGAAGGUCUUCGGAUUGUAAAGCACUUUAAGUUGGGAGGAAGGGCAGUAAGUUAAUACCUUGCUGUUUUGACGUUACCAACAGAAUAAGCACCGGCUAACUUCGUG
rnacentral:rRNA from 1 species